GAUUCAAAGUUCCGCAGAUAGAUACGGAAAAGAUCUACAACUUGGCGUUAGUCUCAUCCUCAAAUUCGUUACGGAUUGUCCGUGGUGAAAGCCCUCUUCAAUACCUUCAUUUUGGCGGUGGUUUCACUUCGAUUGACCUCCUGAAACUGAAAUGGUUCACAGGUCAAGAUCUGGUCAGAUCUGAAUUUGUCGAAUUAAACCAGGAGCUUGGGAACGAAUCUUUGAGUGAAACAAAUUGGGGGAUGUUUGGGUUAUACCAUGGUGAUAACCGAGAGAGGCAAUUGCUAAGUUGUGAUACUCUCAUACCUUUACUAGGUAAAUAACAUGGGUUUUCUUUAAGUUGUUUGUGGUAUCUAUAAGUCCUUUGUAUGGUAGCUCUUUAUUGAAUGGUUAAAUUAUGGUUGUUGUAUGUUUGUUUUGUUGGUGCAAUGUGAUUGAUUGUGUUCCUUUUAUAUUUUUCGGCGAUAGACGCGAGCACUUCCGGAGAAGAAGAAGAAGUGGAAUUGGACAAGGAUUUUAUUUAUAUUGUUGGGAUUCUUAUAUUGAUAGAGUUGAAGAAGUACAGGGACAAAUAAGCCAAGGCAAGCCAUCUUUUGAUCUCUGAUCCGGUGUCUAGUUGGAUGUCAUUUGUUGAUGUUCAAAGCACCUUCAUUCUAUGUGUGUUAUUAUCUCUAUUUAUGUCAUCUAUGUGUGUUUGCAAGUGGGGUACUCCCUAGUGGUGAUGCUCCACUAUUUGUCCUUGUGUUAUGGGAUGCAUGGUAGCAUGGCCGUGCUAUCCCACUUGGUUA